GAUGAACGCUGGCGGCGUGCCUAAUACACGCAAGUCGAGCGAACAGAUAAGGAGCUUGCUCCUUUGACGUUAGCGGCGGACGGGUGAGUAACACGUGGGUAACCUACCUAUAAGACUGGAAUAACUCCGGGAAACCGGGGCUAAUGCCGGAUAACAUUUAGAACCGCAUGGUUCUAAAGUGAAAGAUGGUUUUGCUAUCACUUAUAGAUGGACCCGCGCCGUAUUAGCUAGUUGGUAAGGUAACGGCUUACCAAGGCAACGAUACGUAGCCGACCUGAGAGGGUGAUCGGCCACACUGGAACUGAGACACGGUCCAGACUCCUACGGGAGGCAGCAGUAGGGAAUCUUCCGCAAUGGGCGAAAGCCUGACGGAGCAACGCCGCGUGAGCGAUGAAGGUCUUCGGAUCGUAAAACUCUGUUAUUAGGGAAGAACAAAUGUGUAAGUAACUGUGCACGUCUUGACGGUACCUAAUCAGAAAGCCACGGCUAACUACGUG
rnacentral:rRNA from 1 species